CGAGUGACCUGCCGAUUUGUGGGGGAUAGCCGGGCCAACGCCCGGGUAAUACCGCAUACGCUCUUCUUGGGGCAUCUCUAGAAGAGGAAACCUCCGGGGCAAAUCGAGGGACUCGCGGCCUAUCAGCUAGUUGGCGAGGUAACGGCUCACCAAGGCUACGACGGGUANCUGGUCUGAGAGGAUGGCCAGCCACAUUGGGACUGAGACACGGCCCAGACCUCCGUACGGGAGCAGCAGG
rnacentral:rRNA from 1 species